AUUGAACGCUGGCGGCAGGCUUAACACAUGCAAGUCGAGCGGGGAAAGGUAGCUUGCUACCUGACCUAGCGGCGGACGGGUGAGUAAUGCUUAGGAAUCUGCCUAUUAGUGGGGGACAACAUUCCGAAAGGAAUGCUAAUACCGCAUACGCCCUACGGGGGAAAGCAGGGGCUCUUCGGACCUUGCGCUAAUAGAUGAGCCUAAGUCAGAUUAGCUAGUUGGUGGGGUAAAGGCCUACCAAGGCGACGAUCUGUAGCGGGUCUGAGAGGAGGAUCCGCCACACUGGGACUGAGACACGGCCCAGACUCCUACGGGAGGCAGCAGUGGGGAAUAUUGGACAAUGGGCGAAAGCCUGACCCAGCCAUGCCGCGUGUGUGAAGAAGGCCUUUUGGUUGUAAAGCACUUUAAGCGAGGAGGAGGCUACCGAGAUUAAUACUCUUGGAUAGUGGACGUUACUCGCAGAAUAAGCACCGGCUAACUCUGUGCCAGCCGCCGCCGUAACAC
rnacentral:rRNA from 1 species